rnacentral:rRNA from 1 species
CGCGUAGGCGGUUUGUUUAGUUAGGCGUGAAAUUCCUGGGCUUAACCUGGGGACUGCGCUUAAUACAGGCAGACUUGAGUUCGGAAGAGGGUCGUGGAAUUCCCAGUGUAGAGGUGAAAUUCGUAGAUAUUGGGAAGAACACCGAUGGCGAAGGCGGCGACCUGGUCCGAUACUGACGCUGAGGCGCGAAAGCGUGGGGAGCAAACA